GCGCGUGGCUCAGUGGUUAGAGCAUUCGGCUCACGAUCGAAAGAUUGUGAGUUCGAUUCCCGGCGACGCG
rnacentral:tRNA from 1 species